rnacentral:rRNA from 1 species
CAAGAGCGUAUGUAAAAGUUGUUGCAGUUAAAAAGCUCGUAGUUGAACCUUGGGUUUGGUUGGCCGGUCCGCUUUUUUGCGAGUACUGGAUUCAACCGAGCCUUUCCUUCUGGCUAACCAGCCGUUUCGGCGGCUGGCGAACCAGGAUUUUUACUUUGAGAAAAUUAGAGUGUUCAAAGCAGGCAUUAGCUUGAAUAUAUUAGCAUGGAAUAAUAGAAUAGGACGUUAUGGUUCUAUUUUGUUGGUUUCUAGGACCAUCGUAAUGAUUAAUAGGGACGGUCGGGGGCAUCAGUAUUCAGUUGUCAGAGGUGAAAUUCUUGGAUUUACUGAAGACUAACUACUGCGAAAGCAUUUGCCAAGGACGUUUUCAUUAA